UGGGGAAUAUUGCGCAAUGGGGGGAACCCUGACGCAGCCAUGCCGCGUGAAUGAAGAAGGCCUUCGGGUUGUAAAGUUCUUUCGGUAUUGAGGAAGGUUGAUGUGUUAAUAGCACAUCAAAUUGACGUUAAAUACAGAAGAAGCACCGGCUAACUCCGUGCCAGCAGCCGCGGUAAUACGGAGGGUGCGAGCGUUAAUCGGAAUAACUGGGCGUAAAGGGCACGCAGGCGGUUAUUUAAGUGAGGUGUGAAAGCCCCGGGCUUAACCUGGGAAUUGCAUUUCAGACUGGGUAACUAGAGUACUUUAGGGAGGGGUAGAAUUCCACGUGUAGCGGUGAAAUGCGUAGAGAUGUGGAGGAAUACCGAAGGCGAAGGCAGCCCCUUGGGAAUGUACUGACGCUCAUGUGCGAAAGCGUGGGGAGCAGACAGGAUUAGAUACCCUGGUAGUCCACGCUGUAAACGCUGUCGAUUUGGGGGUUGGGGUUUAACUCUGGCGCCCGUAGCUAACGUGAUAAAUCGACCGCCUGGGGAGUACGGCCGCAAGGUUA
rnacentral:rRNA from 1 species